rnacentral:rRNA from 1 species
CGUAGGUGGCAAGCGUUGUCCGGAAUUAUUGGGCGUAAAGCGCGCGCAGGCGGUCCUUUAAGUCUGAUGUGAAAGCCCACGGCUCAACCGUGGAGGUCAUUGGAAACUGGGGGACUUGAGUACAGAAGAGAAGAGUGGAAUUCCACGUGUAGCGGUGAAAUGCGUAGAGAUGUGGAGGAACACCAGUGGCGAAGGCGACUCUUUGGUCUGUAACUGACGCUGAGGCGCGAAAGCGUGGGGAGCAAACAGGAUUAGAUACCCUGGUAGUCCACGCUGUAAACGAUGAGUGCUAAGUGUUAGAGGGUUUCCGCCCUUUAGUGCUGCAGCUAACGCAUUAAGCACUCCGCCUGGGGAGUACGGCCGCAAGGCUG